UCAUGGCUGCGGGGCGCACU
rnacentral:misc_RNA from 1 species